rnacentral:rRNA from 1 species
UACGUAGGGGCCUAGCGUUGUCCGGAUUUAUUGGGCGUAAAGAGCUCGUAGGCGGUUCGGCAAGUCGGAUGUGAAAUCUCCACGCUUAACGUGGAGGGGCCAUUCGAAACUGCCGUGACUCGAGUCCGGUAGGGGAGUGUGGAAUUCCCGGUGUAGCGGUGAAAUGCGCAGAUAUCAGGAGGAACACCGAUGGCGAAGGCAGGUCUCUGGGCAUUAACUGACGCUGAGGAGCGAAAGCAUGGGGAGCGAACAGG